rnacentral:rRNA from 1 species
UACGGAGGGGGCUAGCGUUGUUCGGAAUUACUGGGCGUAAAGCGCGCGUAGGCGGACCUGCAAGUCGGGGGUGAAAGCCCGAGGCUCAACCUCGGAACUGCCUUCGAUACUGCGGGUCUCGAGUCCGGGAGAGGUGAGUGGAAUUCCUAGUGUAGAGGUGAAAUUCGUAGAUAUUAGGAAGAACACCAGUGGCGAAGGCGGCUCAGCUGGCCCCGGUACUGACGCUGAGGCGCGAAAGCGUGGGGAGCAAAACAGG